GCGCGAAAACUUUACAAUGCGGGAAACCGCGAUAAGGGGACACCGAGUGCCAGCAUCCUAUGUUGGCUGUCCAUAUGUAUAAAUCACAUGUGUUAGCAAGGGCCGGGCAAGACCGGUGCCAGCCGCCGCGGUAACACCGGCGGCCCGAGUGGUGGCCACUAUUAUUGGGUCUAAAGGGUCCGUAGCCGGUUUGGUCAGUCUUCCGGGAAAUCUGACGGCUUAACCGUUAGGCUUUCGGGGGAUACUACCAGGCUUGGGACCGGGAGAGGUAAGAGGUACUACGGGGGUAGGAGUGAAAUCUUGUAAUCCCCGUGGGACCACCAGUGGCGAAGGCGUCUUACCAGAACGGGUCCGACGGUGAGGGACGAAAGCUGGGGGCACGAACCGGAUUAGAUACCCGGGUAGUCCCAGCUGUAAACUAUGCUCGCUAGGUGUCAGGGACGGUGCGACCGUUUCUGGUGCCGCAGGGAAGCCGUGAAGCGAGCCACCUGGGAAGUACGGUCGCAAGGCUGAAACUUAAAGGAAUUGGCGGGGGAGCACUACAACGGGUGGAGCCUGCGGUUUAAUUGGA
rnacentral:rRNA from 1 species